rnacentral:rRNA from 1 species
AACGAACGCUGGCGGCAUGCCUAACACAUGCAAGUCGAACGAGACCUUCGGGUCUAGUGGCGCACGGGUGCGUAACGCGUGGGAACCUGCCCUUAGGUUCGGAAUAACUCCCCGAAAGGUGUGCUAAUACCGGUUAAUGUCUUCGGACCAAAGAUUUAUCGCCUUUGGAUGGGCCCGCGUUGGAUUAGCUAGUUGGUAGUGUAAAAGCCUACCAAGGCGAGGAUCCAUAGCUGGUCUGAGAGGAUGAUCAGCCACACUGGGACUGAGACACGGACCAGACCGCUACGGAAGGGAGCAGUGGGGAAUAUUGGAGAAUGGGCGAAAGCCUGAUCAAGCAAUGCGGCGUGAGUGAUGAAGGCGUUAGGGUUGUAAAGCUCUUUUACCCGGGAUGAUAAUGACAGUACCGGGAGAAUAAGCUCCGGCUAACUACGUG